rnacentral:rRNA from 1 species
GACGAACGCUGGCGGCGUGCUUAACACAUGCAAGUCGAACGGAAAGGCCCUGCUUGCAGGGUACUCGAGUGGCGAACGGGUGAGUAACACGUGGGUGAUCUGCCCUGCACUUCGGGAUAAGCCUGGGAAACUGGGUCUAAUACCGGAUAGGAGCCAUUUUUAGUGUGAUGGUUGGAAAGUUUUUUCGGUGUAGGAUGAGCUCGCGGCCUAUCAGCUUGUUGGUGGGGUAUGGCCUACCAAGGCGGCGACGGGUAGCCGGCCUGAGAGGGUGGACGGCCACAUUGGGACUGAGAUACGGCCCAGACUCCUACGGGAGGCAGCAGUGGGGAAUAUUGCACAAUGGGCGCAAGCCUGAUGCAGCGACGCCGCGUGGGGGAUGACGGCCUUCGGGUUGUAAACUCCUUUCGCUAGGGACGAAGCUUUUUGUGACGGUACCUAGAUAAGAAGCACCGGCUAACUACGUG